rnacentral:lncRNA from 1 species
ACCUUUGUCUCCGGCCUGGAUUAAGGAUCCAGCCUUUCGCCUCCAUCCCUCUUGUCCCUCCUGAUCCUCCUGACCCUGUCUUUAAGAUCCCAGGAGCUGCGGUGAGGAGUGAGGCUGAGGGGCCCCUUUCAUCUGAUGCAGCGACUCCGCUUUCCUCCGGCGGCUCUGUCUAUGGCUGAGCUCUUUGAUCCUUUGAGAGAUGGUUUGACUUUUCCCGAGCAAAGAGCCUGCGUUGAAAAGCGGGGGUGGAAUUCAGUCCUCACAGAUAAUGAGGGGACAAGACCUAAUUGAACCGAGUAUUGCCGGGAAGGAAAAGGCAACGGGCCAAGCCUUUGACAGGGUGCGACACUGACUUUUAUCAUCGUUAUAGUCUUUAAAUCCUGGGAAACGAGUUGGCAACCCCAAAAUAAAGAAGUGUAAUGACGUCUGAUGACUUCACCCAAAUACAGACCAUUCCAAGAAAGACUUGCGCAGUUCUCAUGCGUGGUUGCGUUUUUGCAUAAAACUAAGAUUCCCUUUGUCCGCAUGUUUAAUAGCUUAAAAAUAAAUUGAGGUUUUUAUCGGAUAAAAGUAGCCAGGAAAAAGUGAUACAGUGAAAACGAUUACAGGAUAUUUAUAGACUUGUCUUUCAAGUUAUUAGAAGUCUCAUUCUAUCUGGGGGCAGUGAUGGUGGUGGUGGUAGUGGAACUUGUGAAUUGAGAUUCAUAGUGGAACUUGUGAAUUGAGAUUCAUCUCGAAACUGGAGGCAUGGCUGAGACUUCUAAUAAAGACAACCUCAGU